rnacentral:rRNA from 1 species
CAUGCAAGUCGAACGAGAAAGCUCCCUUCGGGGGGUGAGUACAGUGGCGAACGGGUGAGUAACACGUGGGUUACCUGCCCUUGAGUGGGGAAUAACCCCGGGAAACUGGGGCUAAUACCGCAUACGACCCUUCGGGGUGAAAGCUUUAUGCGCUCGAGGAUGGGCCCGCGGUCGAUUAGCUUGUUGGUGGGGUAAUGGCCUACCAAGGCUUCGACCGAUAGCCGGCCUGAGAGGGCACACGGCCACUCUGGCAGUGAGACACGGGCCAGACUCCUACGGGAGGCAGCAGUGGGGAAUUUUGGACAAUGGGGGCAACCCUGAUCCAGCGACGCCGCGUGAUCGAUGAAGGCCUUCGGGUCGUAAAGACCUUUCAGCGGGAAAUAUUAUGAAGGUACCCGCAGAAGCAGGAGCGGCUAACUACGUGCCAGCAGCCGCGGUAAUACGUAGGCUCCAAGCGUUGUUCGGAAUUACUGGGCGUAAAGCGAGUGUAGGCGGUUUGCCAAGUCGAUUGUGAAAUCUCCCGGCUCAACUGGGAGGGUGCGGUCGAUACUGGCAAGCUAGAGUACGGAAGAGGAAGGUAGAAUUCCUGGUGUAGCGGUGGAAUGCGUAGAUAUCAGGAGGAAUCUCAGAGGUGAAGACGGCCUUCUGGACCGUAACUGACG